rnacentral:rRNA from 1 species
CCUAAACGGCCGCGGCACCAAAACCGUGCAAAGGUAGCACAAUCAUUUGUCCUUUAAAUGGGGACUCGUAUGAAAGGCAGCACGAGAGAAAACCUGUCUCCUAAGACCAGCCAAUGAAAUUGAACUACCAGUACAAAAGCUGGUAUAUUAAAGCAAGACAAAAAGACCCCGUGGAACUUAAUAACCCGUUUACGCAAACUAAACGAUAACUUUAGUUGGGACAACUUUAGAAAAAAUUAACCUCUUAACACCGCCAAGGCCAACAAGCCUAAGAUAUUAAAACUGACCCAGUCACACUGAUUAAUGAAAUAAGCUACCCCGGGGAUAACAGCGCCACCUUCUCAAAAAGUCCAUAUUAACAAGAAGACCUACGACCUCGAUGUUGGAUCGGGGUACCCCGACGGCGCAGCAGCUGUCAACGGUUCGUUUGUUCAACGACUAACACCC